AACGAACGCUGGCGGCAGGCCUAACACAUGCAAGUCGAGCGCCCCGCAAGGGGAGCGGCGGACGGGUGAGUAACGCGUGGGAACGUGCCCUUUGCUACGGAAUAGCCUCGGGAAACUGGGAGUAAUACCGUAUAAGCCCUACGGGGGAAAGAUUUAUCGGCAAAGGAUCGGCCCGCGUUGGAUUAGGUAGUUGGUGGGGUAAUGGCCUACCAAGCCGACGAUCCAUAGCUGGUUUGAGAGGAUGAUCAGCCACACUGGGACUGAGACACGGCCCAGACUCCUACGGGAGGCAGCAGUGGGGAAUCUUAGACAAUGGGCGCAAGCCUGAUCUAGCCAUGCCGCGUGAGCGAUGAAGGCCUUAGGGUUGUAAAGCUCUUUCGUGGGGGAAGAUAAUGACUGUACCCCAAGAAGAAGCCCCGGCUAACUCCGUGCCAGCCGCCGCGGUAA
rnacentral:rRNA from 1 species